CUGAGCCGUGUGCGGUGAAAGUCGCAAGCACGGUUCGUCGGGGGGGAUAUCAUCAAAAGAUGGUAUCCCUACCCUCC
rnacentral:ncRNA from 1 species